AUUGAACGCUGGCGGCAUGCCUUACACAUGCAAGUCGAACGGCAGCGGGGGAGAAGCUUGCUUUUCCUGCCGGCGAGUGGCGAACGGGCGAGUAAUACAUCGGAACGUGCCCUGUAGUGGGGGAUAACUAGUCGAAAGAUUAGCUAAUACCGCAUACGACCUGAGGGUGAAAGUGGGGGACCGCAAGGCCUCAUGCUAUAGGAGCGGCCGAUGUCUGAUUAGCUAGUUGGUGGGGUAAAGGCCUACCAAGGCGACGAUCAGUAGCUGGUCUGAGAGGACGUUCAGCCACACUGGGACUGAGAAACGGCCUAGACUCCUACGGGAGGCAGCAGUGGGGAAUUUUGGACAAUGGGCGAAAGCCUGAUCCAGCAAUGCCGCGUGUGUGAAGAAGGCCUUCGGGUUGUAAAGCACUUUUGUCCGGAAAGAAAUGGCUCUGGUUAAUACCUGGGGUCGAUGACGGUACCGGAAGAAUAAGGACCGGCUAACUACGUGCCAGCCGCCGCAGUAACAC
rnacentral:rRNA from 1 species